CCGUCGGCGCGCCUCUACUCACGGUCCACUCGUGAAGGAAGAUGAUCGCCUCGCUCUCCACGCAUCCCUUGUGCCUGCGGAACUCGUCGCGGACAUAGCCGUCGCCCAGGGGCUGGAUCUCGGCCGAUGGGAACUGACGGCGUGAGAUGUGAUAUUUUAAUAAAUUAGAUCUCGGAUUCUCGUACAUUAUCUGUAAUAAUUUAAGCUGCUUUAUAAUAAGAUUGAAGGAUGAAAAGUAACGAGUAUAAAUAAGAUUGAAGGAUGAAAAGUAACGAGUUACGAACAGAGUUGGGUUCCUUUUAUGAAAAGAAGAAUGAAAUAACAGUCAUCAAACCCAAAAUGGUACCCCGUGUCUUUAACAGAAGGGAUCGCAAGGAAAAUAAUUCAGGUAAUGUUCUGAAAAGGUUUAUGGUAUCAAUUGUAUAUAAAAAAAUUGCCUCUCUUUAUUAAAGUUAAGUCUAAAAAAGUCAAUGUUUUACCACCCAUUUCUAAAGUGAAUUAUAAUGCUAUAAAAAAUUAUAGUAUUAUGUAAUAGAUUAAUAAUUAAACAUUAAUAAUAACAGAGUUAAUGAUAAAAUUGUUAAUUAUUUAUAAUUAAAAAAUAAGUAUGCAGGUCGCGAGAAAGAUAAAGAGAAGCAAUAAUAAAUGUAUUGUGUAGGAUCAGGUUAAGUAUAAGGCAAAUGUUUAAUGUUCGAAUACGUCAUUAUAUUAAUCAAAUUGAAGUAAUUAUUGUUAUCAUGUCAUGUGACAAUCAGUAAAAGGACGCUAAUUUAUUUUCUUGCAUUUCGGGUUUAUGUGCGUGCUCUUGAAUUUAUCAAGCGUGUAUAAGAUAUAUAUAGUUGAGUUCUUAUCUUGUGACCCGAAAAAAUAAUAUUAAUCUUACAAAAUAAGCAAUUCAUAUCAUGCAGAAAUAUUACGAAAUUGAAAGACUAUAAAAACAUUUCAUCUAUUUCUAUUUUAGCGGCACUAAUAUGGAUCGUAAAUAAUAUGAUCAUGAAUGAUUUAUUCGUUGAAAUAUUGAAUAUGCGUAUAAUUGGAUUGACGUGAAGAGAACAAUUUUUUAAUAUGUGACGGAUUACUUAUCUUUACGAUUUAACAGGUACAAAAAGAAUAUUACGUAUGGAAAGAAGUAUGUUACACAUCAUGAAAGAUAUUUACGAUUUAAUUUAUGAUUUAUUAAUCAUAAAACUGAUAAAAGAGAGAUAUUUUUAUGAAAAGUUGGACAGCAUUCGUGAAUUAUUUUAUUAGUUACAAACUCGAAUACGAAUACGAAUAAAUUAUUUUUUAACUAUAUGUCAUACACUCGAUAAAACAUCAUAAAACCAGAUCGAGAAUCAUCAAUGGAGAUUUAAAUACGGAUUAUCCGAAAUAAUUAUUAAUAUUAUCAAUGAUGCCAAAAUACUAAUACUAAAAUACUUUUAUAAUUUCUCUGUACUUUAAAUAUUUUCUUCUCUUGGAGUUUUAUACAAAUUAUAUAUAUUCGCUUGUUGUUUGUUUGACCAUUGACAGCAAGUAUUACCAAUUAAUCAUCAUUUACCUUUCUGUAUUUACCUAUCUGUGUUCCUCGGAUUGGUGAAAUUCUUUUCGUCUUUGUUUUCAUUCGAUGAAUCAUCGCACCUGUACGACUUCGGUUAUUUUACUGCAAUGCAGCUGCAGCAAAGAAUACAUAAAAGAAGCAGUAACGGAAAGUCUACGUAUAGACCUCAUUGGGCCUGAUGAGACAAAGCGCUCGUUAACAGUCACAUUUGAUUAUUUAAAAAAAUUUCCAUCGUUACCAAUAAAUUAGGUACUAACGACGUUACAUGAAUAAAAAAAGUCUGUAAUUAAGUCCCGCGCCGAUAUGUAAUUUGUUUCACUCACGUGCAAGGCAGACUCUUGCAGUAAUAACACUUUGCCAGCGGUCUUUUGCAAUUGGAUCUGUCUUUCCUGCAUCUGCACGGCGUUAGUUUACAAACGCAGCCAAUGUAUCGGCUUGGCAUCGAUUUUUGAACAGUGCUUUUACGUUCGUUUGUCCUAGGUCUUGGACUACAUCGGCAAUUAUUCGGUGAUUUGUUUCUAGAUGACCUUUCUGUUUUGGCACAUCUAAGCACAGAAAAUUCAACGCCAAAGUUUAAGAGAAAGUCAUCUACAAACGAUUUUUAGUUCUAUCCUGGUAAAAACUUUUUUUAGGAAAAAUUUACAUUUUUUCUUAGAAAUUAAAGAGAAAUUGCUCAACUGAAUAAAACUUUGUUAAAAAUGAAAAAUGCCAAUAAGAGUCGACAUUGGGUGUUUGCGUGUACAAUAGUAUAUUAUCAUUAAAAAUUAAAAAUUACAUAUGGACGUUUCGGUCCCAAGACGUGUGAUACUAUAUACGAUUGGUAUAAACGAUCUGUAUAUAUGAAUAAGAUAACAAAUCGCCCUAUAAUUUACGUUUAUCGCACCCUAGCGUUCCAUAUAUGGUAUACAGAUAGAUUGUUUAUGUUUAUGCAUCACGACAUCAUAAAUAUUCAAUGAAUAUGUGAAUUUUUUCUUGUAUAACUUGAUUACGGUAUGACUCAUACUAAUCAUGCCAAAUUUAAUUUAUUUAACGAAUGAGCUGAACAAAUCAUCAUUCAAGACAAUUACUUAUUUGCUUUGCAUUAUACUUAAGGCGGUUCAAACGUAGGAUCGAAACGUCUAUAUGUAAUUUUUAAUUUUUAAUGAUAAUAUUGUACACGCGAAAACUCAGUAUCGACUUCUUGUUGGCAUUAUUUUUUUUUCUUAGAAUUAUUCAUACAUGAAAUAUUCUAAGAUUUCCAAACUUUUUUAUCCUACAAUUUCUA